rnacentral:rRNA from 1 species
AGUGAACGCUGGCGGUAGGCCUAACACAUGCAAGUCGAACGGCAGCACAGUAAGAGCUUGCUCUUACGGGUGGCGAGUGGCGGACGGGUGAGGAAUACAUCGGAAUCUACUUUUUCGUGGGGGAUAACGUAGGGAAACUUACGCUAAUACCGCAUACGACCUACGGGUGAAAGCAGGGGAUCUUCGGACCUUGCGCGAUUGAAUGAGCCGAUGUCGGAUUAGCUAGUUGGCGGGGUAAAGGCCCACCAAGGCGACGAUCCGUAGCUGGUCUGAGAGGAUGAACAGCCACACUGGAACUUAGGCACGGUCCAAACUCCCACGGGAAGCAGGAGGUGGGAAUAAUUGACAAUGGGGGGAAACCCUGUCCAGCCAAACCGCGGGGGUGAAGGAGGCCUUCCGGUUGGUAAGCCCUUUUUGUUGGAAAGAAAAGCAGCAGGGUAAAACCCCGGUUGUCUUACGGUACCCAAAGGAUAAGGAACGGCUAAAUUCGGU